GCCGCCGUAGCACAAAGGUAGUGCAUUGCUUUCCUAAAUUUGGUGACUUAGAAGUCACGUGAUUUAAGGCAAAGGUUGUGGGUUCGAUCCCCAUCGGCGGUU